rnacentral:rRNA from 1 species
UUGACCUCAAAUCAGGUAGGAUCACCCGCUGAACUUAA